GCCCAACUGGCUCAGUCAGUAGAGCGUGUGAUUUGUAAUCUCAGGGUCAUGAGUUCAAGCCCCACAUUGGGCG